rnacentral:rRNA from 1 species
UGGGGAAUUUUGCGCAAUGGGCGAAAGCAUGACGCAGCAACGCCGCGUGAGUGAUGAAGGCUUUAGGGUCGUACAGCUCUGUCAAGGGGAAAGAAGUGUAUUAUGGUUAAUACCCAUGAUGCUUGACGGUACCCCUAAAGGAAGAACCGGCUAACUCCGUGCCAGCAGCCGCGGUAAUACGGGGGUUGCAAGCGUUGUUCGGAAUUAUUGGGCGUAAAGCGCGUGUAGGCGGUUUGUUAAGUCUGAUGUGAAAGCCCCGGGCUCAACCUGGGAAGUGCAUUGGAAACUGGCAGACUUGAAUACGGGAGAGGGUAGUGGAAUUCCUGGUGUAGGAGUGAAAUCCGUAGAUAUCAGGAGGAACACCGGUGGCGAAGGCGGCUGCCUGGACCGAUAUUGACGCUGAGACGCGAAAGCGUGGGUAGCAAACA